rnacentral:rRNA from 1 species
GAUGAACGCUGGCGGCGUGCCUAAUACAUGCCAGUCGAGCGAACGGACGAGAAGCUUGCUUCUCUGAUGUUAGCGGCGGACGGGUGAGUAACACGUGGAUAACCUACCUAUAAGACUGGGAUAACUUCGGGAAACCGGAGCUAAUACCGGAUGAUAUUUUGAACCGCAUGGUUCAAAAGUGAAAGACGGUCUUGCUGUCACUUAUAGAUGGAUCCGCGCUGCAUUUGCUAGUUGGUAAGGUAACGGCUUACCAAGGCAACGAUGCAUAGCCGACCUGAGAGGGUGAUCGGCCACACUGGAACUGAGACACGGUCCAGACUCCUACGGGAGGCAGCAGUAGGGAAUCUUCCGCAAUGGGCGAAAGCCUGACGGAGCAACGCCGCGUGAGUGAUGAAGGUCUUCGGAUCGUAAAACUCUGUUAUUAGGGAAGAACAUAUGUGUAAGUAACUGUGCACAUCUUGACGGUACCUAAUCAGAAAGCCACGGCUAACUACGUG